rfam:Emiliania huxleyi CCMP1516 EMIHTscaffold_298_Cont6509, whole genome shotgun sequence.
UCCCGCGUAACUCAGUUGGUAGAGUGACAGACCCUUAAUCUGCUAGUCUUGGGUUCGAGCCCCAACGUGGGAA